GGGGACAGCCCUGCCUCGUGCCAUUGUAGAUGGAGAACGAGGGGGGGUUCGUGUUUGGUAUGAGUAGGUUGGCAGUAGGAUUAGAAUAGAUCAUUCGCAGGGCGUCUUGAAAUGGUUUGGGGAAUCUGAGUUUCUCCAGAGUGGCAAAGAGAAAUGGCCAUAGUAACCUAUCAAACGCCUUUUUGGCGUCCAGGGAUAGGAGUAGCGUUGGAAUGGAGCGCUGGGUGGCCACCCAGAUCAGGUCUAGCAUCCUCCUGGUAUUGUCACUAGCUUGGCGAGUGGGGAUGAAGCCCACCUGGUCCGGGUGGAUUAAUGAUGUGAUAUGUGGUAGCAGCCUAUUGGAGAGUAUUUUCGUGAACAGUUUGAUAUCUACAUUCAUUAGGGAUAUUGGUCGAUAGUGGCCUGGGUCUGAGAGGGGUUUGUUGGGUUUGGGUAGAAGGCAAAUGUUGGCUUGCAGCAUGUCUUUGGUGGGGAGCGGGUUUCCCUGCAGCAGGGUGUUGUAUAGUUGUACUAGGUGGGGUAGGAGAGUGUCCCGGAAUGUUUUGUAAUAUAUGCCCGGAUAUCCGUCCGGUCCUGGGCUUUUGUUGGGUUUGGUGGCCCCUAUAGCCGUCGCAAUUUCUUGCUCUGUGAUCUCCAUGGAGAGUUGGGUGAUCGCGCUAUCUGAUAGUGUGGGCAAGUGGGUUCGGUCUAAAAAGGUUUGGAUACGGUCCUGUAGGGUGGCGGUCCGUUGCCUAUGGUGGGGGGAGUGGUCAUAUAGGUCUGCAAAAUAGUGUUGGAAUACCUCCGCAAUUUUGGUUGGUACCUCUGUGUCAUGGCCCGAUGGUGUGCGUAUGCGUGUUAUCUGCUUGGCCUGGAUGCGCUUGCGCAGCCUGCGGGCCAGGAGUGUAUCGGCUUUAUUGGACUUUUCGUAGAACUUUUGUUGUGUCCAUUGUAGAGCCCUGGUGGCGUCCACUGCCAUUGCAUUGUGGAGGGCCUGUCGUUGGUGUUGGAGUUGUGUAGUGAGGUCCGGGGUGGGGGUAACUUUAUGUAGGGAUUCAAGGUCCCUGAUGGCCGCUAGUAUUUUCUCUAUGUGAG